UGGCACAAUUGCCAAAUCUUCCUCUUGAUACAAUUUAAAGAAUUUCUGUAAUCCCCUCAUUUGUUCAGAUAUUAUAUGGUAUUGUUUUACACUUAUGUGUGAGAAUAAUUAUCUUAAGAUCUGCAUUUUAGGCUAGAAGUGCAAAAUGCCAGACAGGAAGAAACCAUCAAACAACAAGCCGCCCAAAUUCAAAACCUUCAGAGCAACUUGUUAAAGACAAGUUUGUUGCAAGAAGCAAAGGAUCAACAUGCAGAGGCCAUAAGAUAUGCCGAGAAGACGCUAGAAGUGCAACAUGCCAGGCCAGAAGCAACCAUCAAUCAGCAAGCGGCCCAAAUUCACAAUCUUCCGAGAAACUUGUUAAGGACAA